rnacentral:tRNA from 1 species
GACUUGGUGGCUGAGUGGUUAAAAGCGUUAGACUGUAAAUCUAAUGAUCGCAUCUACAUAGGUUCGAAUCCUAUCCAAGUCA